CUUACACACACUGGUGAAAAAAAUCAUGAGUGUGAAGUUUGUGGGAAAUGUUUCAGUCGGAAGGGUACCCUCAAAUUACACACUCUUACACACACUGGUGAAAGAAAUCAUGAGUGUGAAGUUUGUGGGAAAUGUUUCAGUCACAAGAGUAACCUCAAAGUACACACUCUUACACACACUGGUGAAAGAAAUCAUGAGUGUGAAGUUUGUGGGAAAUGUUUCAGUCAGAAGGGUACCCUCAAUUUACACCUUGUUACACACACUGAUGCAAGAAGUCAUGAGUGUGAAGUUUGUGGGAAAAGGUUCAAACUGAAGAGUAUAUUGGACAUGCACGUCUUCAGACACUCUGGUCAUAAAGGGUUCAAGUGCGAUGUUUGUGGGAAACGUUUCAUGACUAAGGGUGAGAUUGUCAGGCACAUGAAGGUCCACUUCUCCUGAGGUGCUGUGCUGAUUCAGUUCUGCUGUGUGUGUGAGUGCAAGUGUUUGUUGUGGUGGUGUUACAGGGCUGUGUGUAGCACAGAGAACAGAAAAUAUUCAUCUGUUGGAACAAAUGGUGACUGUGACGGCAUGAUCUGUUAUUCACUUUCCACCCCAGGCUUCAUGUGGUUGGUGGGUCCUGUGAAAGGUCUGAUCUUUUUGGUGACUGUGCUGGGCUGGCUGUUGUGGCCUGGGCUUAUUGGUCAAGUGUGUGUGUUAAUAGUAAUAAUAUAGUGUAUUUGGUCUUACCAGCCGCUAAGCUAAAAAUGUACACAUUAUAAACACAUUGUAAAGAACAGUAGGUAGGGGUUCAGGGAUCUAACACAUCAGUGGGAGGUUGGAAUGAUAGUGGUGGGAGGGUUGAGUGCAGUGUGGUGGUGCCGGGGAGGGGGAGGACAUCCUCUUCCAGAUGGUGGCAAGGUGUUAGUCCCAAGGUGUGACAUUCAUGUAGGUGUGAAAGAGGGGUGACGAUAUGAUUGAGCACAUGCAUCCCCCCCAUCCCCUCUCUUCCCCCAAUCAGAAUUAUAACAGGUUGCAUUUACAUGUGUCUUGUAUGCCCUCAAAUCUCAGUGUACCACUUGGGAAUUUAUGUAAAGAUAAAAAAGCAUUCCGA